UACGUAGGUGACAAGCGUUGUCCGGAUUUACUGGGCGUAAAGAGCGCGCAGGCGGUCGUUCAAGUCGAGUGUGAAAGCCCCCGGCUCAACUGGGGAGGGUCACUCGAUACUGAUCGACUUGAAGGCAGGAGAGGGAAGCGGAAUUCCCGGUGUAGUGGUGAAAUGCGUAGAUAUCGGGAGGAACACCAGUGGCGAAGGCGGCUUCCUGGCCUGCUCUUGACGCUGAGGCGCGAAAGCUAGGGUAGCAAACAGG
rnacentral:rRNA from 1 species